rnacentral:lncRNA from 1 species
AUGUGGGGUAUUACAAUUCCUUUGACACAAUAUUCUUGAACUGAUCAGCUUGCCAUGGGGCUAUAAUAGAUUAUCGCAGGGUCCUCUAAAGGAUAUGUACCUUUUGCUGGAUAAAUCAACUAAUAGGUAUGUUAAUCUACACUUCUAGAUGGUGUGAAAGUUGGCUGUACCAAUGAGGGUUCAGUUUUUUUGGUGGAAGUUGUUAUAGAUGAGACUUCCAUGCAAAAAGAUUUUAUUUCAAAGGGGUCAGUUAUCAGGUGCAAAUCUCUAUUGUGAUCUCUAUGCAAAUACUCUUGAAGAUCUGAAUCAUGUGAUGGUGGCUUGUCCAUUUUCCAUUCAUUACUCAGAUCACCCUUGAUCUUCGGGUCAACACCCCGUACCAAACACCCCCUUUAUGGUUAAGGCAAAUGUAGAGAAGUAGGUUCAAGUUAUACAUGCACAUUUGACGUGGUUAUUAUGGUCAAUAAGGAACAGACAAUUAUUUAAAUCUUCUAUCUCAAUGCUAGUAGAUUUGGUGGGACAAACUUUAUCCUUUCUGUUGGUAGGUUGCUUUCAGCAACAACAGGUUGUUAGUAUGGCUCAUUCAGGGC